rnacentral:rRNA from 1 species
CCUACGGGGGGCUGCAGUCGAGAAUCAUUCACAAUGGGGGAAACCCUGAUGGUGCGACGCCGCGUGGGGGAAUGAAGGUCUUCGGAUUGUAAACCCCUGUCAUGUGGGAGCAAAUUAAAAAGAUAGUACCACAAGAGGAAGAGACGGCUAACUCUGUGCCAGCAGCCCCGGUAAUACAGAGGUCUCAAGCGUUGUUCGGAAUCACUGGGCGUAAGGCGUGCGUAGGCUGUUUCGUAAGUCGUGUGUGAAAGGCGCGGGCUCAACCCGCGGACGGCACAUGAUACUGCGAGACUAGAGUAAUGGAGGGGGAACCGGAAUGCUCGGUGUAGCAGUGAAAUGCGUAGAUAUCGAGAGGAACACUCGUGGCGAAGGCGGGUUCCUGGACAUUAACUGACGCUGAGGCACGAAGGCCAGGGGAGCGAAAGGGAUUAGAUACCCCUGUAGUC